AAGAAAACAGCAUUUUGGCGAGGAAAGUUAACGAGGAAAUAUAAUCCUCGUAAAUUUACGAGGAACUUACGAGGAAUUUACAAAGAAAGAAAUAAACCUCGUUAUUUCCUCGUAAACUAACGAAGACAGUUUUUUGUCGUAAAGCCCACGUAACAUUACGUGGUAUUUACGAGGAAAUACACUUUCCUCGUAAAGACCACGUAAAGCUUGCAUUAUUUUUACGAGGAAAAGUGGAAAUAUACUUUCCUCGUUAAAUCAACGUAAAUUUACGUCACCUUUACGAGGAAAUGAUAUACGUGAACUUAACGAGGAAUUUUAAAGCACGUUUUUUUUUGCUACCUACCUUUUCCUCGCAAAUUCAUCGCAAAACUUCAACUACCAGAUUCGAAAAUUUUCUAUAAAUAUGGAAGUUUCAACAUCAUUUUAAACACACCAACAAGGAAAAAAAAGAAAAACGUGAAAGGAAAAAAAUGUCAGGCUCCGGGAAUGUCUACGAGUUGCGGAGGUGGAUGUAUAUGCAUAGAGAUGCUAACGGGAGAGUGACGAAAGAAUACAUUGCAGGACUGGAGACAUUUAUGCAUCAAGCAGAUUCCACACCGCUCGCCCUAGAAAGCGGUAAGAUGUUCUGUCCAUGUCGGAAAUGCAACAAUUCGAAAUUGGCAAAUCGUGAAAAUGUUUGGAAGCAUUUAAUAAAUAGAGGUUUCACGCCAAAUUACUAUAUCUGGUUUCAACAUGGAGAAGGUUAUAAUAAUUAUGAUCAGAAUGAAGCUAGUAGUAGUAAUAGCAAUUUUCAGGAAGAACCGGUUGCUCUUCAUUUGCAUAAUGAACCUAGUUACCAUCAGGAAGAGCAGAUGGUAGAUUUUGAUAGGGUUCAUGAUAUGGUAACUGAUGCAUUUGUAGCUCAUGAUGAAGAUGAAGAACCUAACAUAGAUGCAAAAAAGUUUUAUGAAAUGUUAAAUGCGGCGAAUCAACCACUUUACAGUGGUUGUAGAGAAGGUCUCUCUAAAUUGUCGUUGGCUGCUAGAAUGAUGAAUAUUAAAACUGAUCACAAUCUACCUGAAAGUUGCAUGAAUGAAUGGGCAGACUUGUUCAAAGAGUAUUUGCCGGAAGACAAUGUGUCUGCUGAUUCUUAUUAUGAGAUUCAGAAACUGGUGUAUAGUCUUGGGUCGCCUUCGGAGAUGAUAGAUGUUUGCAUCGACAACUGCAUGAUCUACUGGGGAAAUGAUGAGAAGUUAGAAGAAUGUCGAUUCUGCAAGAAGCCACGAUUCAAGCCGCAAGGACGGGGACGUAAUAGGGUACCGUACCAAAGGAUGUGGUACCUACCAAUUACAGACAGAUUGAAAAGAUUGUACCAAUCAGAGCAGACUGCUGGAAAGAUGAGAUGGCAUGCCGAGCAUACUCAGACGGAUGGUGAGAUGACACAUCCAUCAGAUGCAAGAGCCUGGAAACAUUUUAACAAACUAUAUCCGGAAUUCGCUAGCAAUAUCCGGAAUGUGUAUCUCGGAUUAUGCACAGAUGGAUUUAGUCCAUUCGGAAUGUCAGGGAGACAAUAUUCAUUGUGGCCAGUCUUUCUUACGCCAUACAACCUGCCACCGGAGAUGUGCAUGCAACGGGAGUUGCUAUUCUUGACCAUAUUAAUACCUGGUCCGAAACAUCCUAAAAGGUCGCUGGAUGUUUUCCUGCAACCACUGAUAAAAGAGUUGAAGGAUUUAUGGUCAACAGGGGAGAGGACGUAUGACUGCUCAACGAAGACGAAUUUCACGAUGCGAGCGAUGCUUUUGUGGACCAUAAGCGACUUUCCUGCCUAUGGGAUGUUGUCGGGAUGGACUACACAUGAAAGAUUAGCUUGUCCAUAUUGUAAUGGAGCGACAGAUGCGUUUCAACUGAAGAAUGGGAGGAAGACAAGUUGGUUCGAUUGUCAUCGUAGAUUUCUUCCCAUUGGCCAUCCGUACCGAAGAAACAAGACAUUGUUUAGGCACAAAAGGGUUGUGAGAGACACUCCUCCUCCAUAUUUAACUGGAGAAGAAACUGAAAAGCAACUCGAUUACUAUGGAGCUUUGGAAACAGUUCCUCGUGGUGGUAAUUGGCAUGUUCCCCCUAAUAUGCCUGAUUCUUACGGUGUUCAUCACAACUGGCACAAGAAGAGUAUAUUUUGGGAGUUGCCAUAUUGGAAGGAUCUUCUUCUGCGCCACAACCUCGAUGUGAUGCAUAUAGAGAAGAAUUUCUUUGAGAACAUCAUGAAUACAAUAUUGAAUGUCCCGGGGAAGACAAAAGACAACAUAAAAUCGAGGUUAGACUUGCUGGAUAUUUGCUUAAGAAGCGAGUUACAUAUAAACAGCAAUGGGCAAGUUCCUGUUCCGAUAUUCAGAUUGUCUUCAGAAAAAAAGUCGGUGUUGUUCAACUGGGUAGCAUCAGAAGUGAAAUUCCCCGAUGGGUAUGUUUUAAAAUGUCUAGAUGCGUUGAAAAGGGUCAAAAGUUCUCCGGGAUGAAGAGUCAUGACUGUCAUGUCUUUAUGCAACGACUACUUCCCUUUGCUUUUGCGGAGCUACUUCCUACAAACGCAUUGGAGCAUUUUUCAGGGAUCUGAGCACCCGCACCCUUAAAGUAGAAGUCGUGGAACAGCUUCAAGAGAACAUUCUCAUCUUAUUGUGCAACUUGGAGAAGAUAUUUCCUCCUGGGUUUUUUGACGUAAUGGAGC